UUAAGUUAUUAAGGGCGCACGGUGGAUGCCUUGGCACUAGAAGCCGAUGAAGGACGUUACUAACGACGAUAUGCUUUGGGGAGCUGUAAGUAAGCUUUGAUCCAGAGAUUUCCGAAUGGGGAAACCCAGCAUGAGUUAUGUCAUGUUAUCGAUAUGUGAAUACAUAGCAUAUCAGAAGGCACACCCGGAGAACUGAAACAUCUUAGUACCCGGAGGAAGAGAAAGAAAAUUCGAUUCCCUUAGUAGCGGCGAGCGAAACGGGAAGAGCCCAAACCAACAAGCUUGCUUGUUGGGGUUGUAGGACACUCUAUACGGAGUUACAAAGGACGACAUUAGACGAAUCAUCUGGAAAGAUGAAUCAAAGAAGGUAAUAAUCCUGUAGUCGAAAAUGUUGUCUCUCUUGAGUGGAUCCUGAGUACGACGGAGCACGUGAAAUUCCGUCGGAAUCUGGGAGGACCAUCUCCUAAGGCUAAAUACUCUCUAGUGACCGAUAGUGAACCAGUACCGUGAGGGAAAGGUGAAAAGCACCCCGGAAGGGGAGUGAAAUAGAACCUGAAACCGUGUGCUUACAAGUAGUCAGAGCCCGUUAAUGGGUGAUGGCGUGCCUUUUGUAGAAUGAACCGGCGAGUUACGAUUUGAUGCAAGGUUAAGCAGUAAAUGUGGAGCCGUAGCGAAAGCGAGUCUGAAUAGGGCGUUUAGUAUUUGGUCGUAGACCCGAAACCAGGUGAUCUACCCUUGGUCAGGUUGAAGUUCAGGUAACACUGAAUGGAGGACCGAACCGACUUACGUUGAAAAGUGAGCGGAUGAACUGAGGGUAGCGGAGAAAUUCCAAUCGAACCUGGAGAUAGCUGGUUCUCUCCGAAAUAGCUUUAGGGCUAGCCUCAAGUGAUGAUUAUUGGAGGUAGAGCACUGUUUGGACGAGGGGCCCCUCUCGGGUUACCGAAUUCAUACAAACUCCGAAUGCCAAUUAAUUUAACUUGGGAGUCAGAACAUGGGUGAUAAGGUCCGUGUUCGAAAGGGAAACAGCCCAGACCACCAGCUAAGGUCCCAAAAUAUAUGUUAAGUGGAAAAGGAUGUGGCGUUGCCCAGACAACUAGGAUGUUGGCUUAGAAGCAGCCAUCAUUUAAAGAGUGCGUAAUAGCUCACUAGUCGAGUGACACUGCGCCGAAAAUGUACCGGGGCUAAACAUAUUACCGAAGCUGUGGAUUGUCCUUUGGACAAUGGUAGGAGAGCGUUCUAAGGGCGUUGAAGCAUGAUCGUAAGAACAUGUGGAGCGCUUAGAAGUGAGAAUGCCGGUGUGAGUAGCGAAAGACGGGUGAGAAUCCCGUCCACCGAUUGACUAAGGUUUCCAGAGGAAGGCUCGUCCGCUCUGGGUUAGUCGGGUCCUAAGCUGAGGCCGACAGGCGUAGGCGAUGGAUAACAGGUUGAUAUUCCUGUACCACCUAUAAUCGUUUUAAUCGAUGGGGGGACGCAGUAGGAUAGGCGAAGCGUGCGAUUGGAUUGCACGUCUAAGCAGUAAGGCUGAGUAUUAGGCAAAUCCGGUACUCGUUAAGGCUGAGCUGUGAUGGGGAGAAGACAUUGUGUCUUCGAGUCGUUGAUUUCACACUGCCGAGAAAAGCCUCUAGAUAGAAAAUAGGUGCCCGUACCGCAAACCGACACAGGUAGUCAAGAUGAGAAUUCUAAGGUGAGCGAGCGAACUCUCGUUAAGGAACUCGGCAAAAUGACCCCGUAACUUCGGGAGAAGGGGUGCUCUUUAGGGUUAACGCCCAGAAGAGCCGCAGUGAAUAGGCCCAAGCGACUGUUUAUCAAAAACACAGGUCUCUGCUAAACCGUAAGGUGAUGUAUAGGGGCUGACGCCUGCCCGGUGCUGGAAGGUUAAGAGGAGUGGUUAGCUUCUGCGAAGCUACGAAUCGAAGCCCCAGUAAACGGCGGCCGUAACUAUAACGGUCCUAAGGUAGCGAAAUUCCUUGUCGGGUAAGUUCCGACCCGCACGAAAGGCGUAACGAUUUGGGCACUGUCUCAACGAGAGACUCGGUGAAAUCAUAGUACCUGUGAAGAUGCAGGUUACCCGCGACAGGACGGAAAGACCCCGUGGAGCUUUACUGUAGCCUGAUAUUGAAAUUCGGCACAGCUUGUACAGGAUAGGUAGGAGCCUUUGAAACGUGAGCGCUAGCUUACGUGGAGGCGCUGGUGGGAUACUACCCUAGCUGUGUUGGCUUUCUAACCCGCACCACUUAUCGUGGUGGGAGACAGUGUCAGGCGGGCAGUUUGACUGGGGCGGUCGCCUCCUAAAAGGUAACGGAGGCGCUCAAAGGUUCCCUCAGAAUGGUUGGAAAUCAUUCAUAGAGUGUAAAGGCAUAAGGGAGCUUGACUGCGAGACCUACAAGUCGAGCAGGGUCGAAAGACGGACUUAGUGAUCCGGUGGUUCCGCAUGGAAGGGCCAUCGCUCAACGGAUAAAAGCUACCCCGGGGAUAACAGGCUUAUCUCCCCCAAGAGUUCACAUCGACGGGGAGGUUUGGCACCUCGAUGUCGGCUCAUCGCAUCCUGGGGCUGUAGUCGGUCCCAAGGGUUGGGCUGUUCGCCCAUUAAAGCGGUACGCGAGCUGGGUUCAGAACGUCGUGAGACAGUUCGGUCCCUAUCCGUCGUGGGCGUAGGAAAUUUGAGAGGAGCUGUCCUUAGUACGAGAGGACCGGGAUGGACAUACCUCUGGUGUACCAGUUGUCGUGCCAACGGCAUAGCUGGGUAGCUAUGUGUGGACGGGAUAAGUGCUGAAAGCAUCUAAGCAUGAAGCCCCCCUCAAGAUGAGAUUUCCCAACUUCGGUUAUAAGAUCCCUCAAAGAUGAUGAGGUUAAUAGGUUCGAGGUGGAAGCAUGGUGACAUGUGGAGCUGACGAAUACUAAUCGAUCGAAGACUUAAUCAA
rnacentral:rRNA from 1 species